GAUGAACGCUGGCGGCGUGCCUAAUACAUGCAAGUCGAGCGAACAGACGAGGAGCUUGCUCCUCUGACGUUAGCGGCGGACGGGUGAGUAACACGUGGAUAACCUACCUAUAAGACUGGGAUAACUUCGGGAAACCGGAGCUAAUACCGGAUAAUAUAUUGAACCGCAUGGUUCAAUAGUGAAAGACGGUUUUGCUGUCACUUAUAGAUGGAUCCGCGCCGCAUUAGCUAGUUGGUAAGGUAACGGCUUACCAAGGCGACGAUGCGUAGCCGAACUGAGAGGGUGGUCGGGCAAACAUAAACUGAAGCACGGUCCAGACUCCUACGAGAGGCAGCAGUAGGGAAUCGUCCGCAAUGGGCGAAAGCCUGACGGAGCAACGCCGCGUGAGUGAUGAAGGUCUUCGGAUCGUAAAACUCUGUUAUUAGGGAAGAACAAAUGUGUAAGUAACUAUGCACGUCUUGACGGUACCUAAUCAGAAAGCCACGGCUAACUACGUG
rnacentral:rRNA from 1 species